GUCUUAUGUCUGUGAUGAAUGCUGGAUUCCCUGCUCUGGGAUUGCAGAAAAGUGAUUGUAAAGAAGGGAGCUGGAUACAGUCAAUGCUAUUCUGGUCCAAUUUUGACAUUGGCGCAAAACCUGAACUUCUUCUUAACAGAACUUCUGAUGUCAAUUUCUUGAAGAGAAAAUCAGAUUAUGUCCAAACCCCAAUUCCUAAGGAUGCACUGACUUCAAUCUUCAAGAAAAUGGUUCAGCUAGGAAAACCUGGACUUGUUUUCAAUCCAUAUGGUGGAAGAAUGAGUGAAAUCCCUGCAAAUGAAACACCAUUUCCUCACAGGGCAGGGAUCAUUUACAAGAUUCAAUACUCAGUGAAUUGGGACGAUGCGAGCCCCAACAUAACAAAUCAAUACCUCGAGCAAGCAAGGGAACUGUACAGUUUCACGACCCCUUAUGUAUCAAGUAAUCCAAGGCAGGCUUUUCUCAACUAUAGGGAUCUUGAUAUCGGUACAACUGAUAACGGGAAGAACAGUUAUAGUGAAGGAGAAGUUUAUGGGCGCAAAUAUUUCAAAGACAAUUUUGACAGAUUGGUUAAAGUGAAGACUGUGGUAGAUCCUGAAAAUUUCUUCAAGAAUGAACAGAGUAUCCCAACUCUGCCCGCUAGGUCCUUUCGUAAGAGAAGGUGAGGAAAGCAAAGGUAUAAACUACAAGCCAUCAAUCGUUUUGCGGUUGGGUGAUAUCUUGAUCAUGAUGACCAUACUUCUUUUGCAGUUAUGACAUUGAAUUGCUGGUUAUGCAGUAGAUGGAAGUAAAGCAGCUGAAUUCGAUUUCAUUGAUUACUAUUUGAUAGAAUAAGAUUCCAACUCGAAAUAGGUUGUCAAUUGAUUAUACGGAUGAUUUUGUAUUUUGGUUUUGUAAAACAGUGAAUUUCUUGGAUUUCUUGUAUUGAAUCUCGAAUGAUACUGAAAGUAAAAGACAAGUAUAAAAAAAUAUAAAAAAUCAAAUAAGAUAUAUGCAUAUUUAUCUCUAGUACUUUUGCGGGAAUUUCUUGCCCUUUACAAAUUGAAAAAAAAAAUGUUAACCUGGCCUUAAACAAAGAAUUUUUCACGUUUUAUUAAUUUGAUAUUUUUUGCUUGCAAUGGUAAUCAAAAGUGGACUCUUAAUACAAGUUAGUUCAGUUGAUAAUUUCGAAUCACCCACUUGGCCAACAUAGGAUCAUCACUGGCUUUGCCCCCUUUACUUUUUGUCAAUCCAGGCUGUUAAUGCCUUAUUGUACCUUUUAUUUCUUGUUUAGAGCUACCUCCUCUCCUCCUACCCCUAUGGACAUGCUAACCUCGUCGAGGCUGAUAGGAGAGGAUUUAGUCAUGUAAGACUUGUUACUACUUAAUUUAUGCACUGCCUUGCCGUAUUAAAAAAAAAAAGUGUAAACGUUAUUCUACUUUUUAAUCCGCAUGACUAAUUUUUUUUCUGUGUGUCAGUUAUAAUGAUAUAUCUUGUAAACUAGUUUGCAUGGGGUAGAGAUAGUUCGAAUAUUACAAAAAUGUUAAAAAUUCAAGUGUGGAUAUGCUGUGAAAGCAAAAUUGAGAGAAAUAAAGAGUAGAACUGAGUGUAUCCCAAUUGGUAAUAUGUUUCAUCUGUAAUAGAGAGUUUACAGUUCAAGUUAUGAAAAGAUUGUUGAAAAGUCAAUGUUGAUUCAGUUUUAAAAAAUAAAAAUAAAAAACAAAAAAAAAGGGUAUAAAAUUUAUUUAUUUAUUUUUUUGAACAGAAGGGUAUAACUUGGUCCUUCUCUUCUUUAGUUUCAUUAACAUCAGUUACAAGCCAAUUGUGUUUGGUUUGGCACUUAAGAAACAUUUUCAAGAAGAUCUUUCCAUUAGUUGCUUUUCUUUUUUUUUUUUUUUAUGUCCAUGAUUAUGCCAACUCGAGAAUCUCUGUGAAGUAAACGUCAACGCAUAAACAUUCACGCGGCAUCAAUAAAGUUGACCUUAAUUAAAAAUAAAAGGGAAAAGUGGACUUGAAUCGGUACAACAUUUCACAUGCAUCUAUAGAUCCAAAUUGGAGUCACAAGAAAGGUACAAUCCGACUAUCAAUCCACAAUCCUGCUUGAAAAGAAAUAUAUAUAUAUAUAUAUAUAUAUAUAUAUAUAUACACAUAAUAUUAAGGUGACGUUGUCCCACAUCGCUUUUUGUAUAAGUGAACCUUUCCCUUAGUUGUCUAUAAAUAUAGUAGACCUGUAAUGGAAUUAAGUGCACCAAAAUCAAGAGAGCAUUAGUGGGUUAUUUGAACCUUUGAAUUAUUAAACCAUUUGUUUAGUUAAAUGUUUUUGGGCUCUCUUGUAUUUUAGUAUUAGGUGGUUUGAGUUUUGAACACUUUCCUAAGGUAUUUUUUGUAUUCUCUUAUUCACAGUAAAAUAUUGCUCCUCCUCUGCACGUGGACGUAAGUCAAUUUGAUCGAACCACGUAAAUUUUUGUGUUUCUGUUUUAUUUAUCUCUGCUUUGUUAUUUGUUUUGGAGUUGCCAAAAAUUCUUUCGUCAAUUUUCUGGGCAGACCUAACAAAUUCAUAUCAGACCUUCUUCGGAGGUUUUGGAUUUUGUGACAACAAUGACAAUAACAAAGACUGUUAUCAAGAAAUUCGACAGGAAUGUCAAUUUUGGGAUGUGGUAGCUCAAGAUGGAAACCAUUUUUGUUUAAGAUGGAGUUGACCUAACAAUACACGGAAUUGAGAAAAAGCCAGAGGAUGUGACAAAUGCAAAUUUUGUUGAGAUGGAUAAAAAGGCAAGAUAUAGUAUUAUUUUAAAUCUCUCUGACGAGAUUUUACGGGAGUGGUCACUGGAAUUUCAGCAAAGACCAUGUGGGACAAAUUUAAGAUCUUAUAUAUGAAAAAAACAGUUGAGAAUCAGCUUUAUUUAAAACAAAGUUUGUAUAUGCUUCACAUGAUUAAAGGUACAUCUAUACUCUCACAUAUUGAUAAAUUUGAUUCCAUUAUUAUGGAUUUGAAGAAUAUAGAUUCGAAAAUUGAUGAUGAGAAUCAGACCCUGUUACUUUUGUGUCCCCUUCCCCAAUAUUUUAAACAUUUUCGCGAUACUAUGAUUUUAAACAUUAAAUCUGAUUAAUGGAGGUCAGGCAGAAGGUCUGGUUGUUAGGGACAAAAUUGAAAGAAGAGAAUUUAACAGUAGUAGAUCUAAAUCAAGACAUAGAAAUGUGGAGUGGAAUUAUUGUUAUAAAAUGGGGCACAUUAAGGCAAAUUGUUUCAAAUUGAAAAAUAGAUUGAAACAAAAGAGAAAAUCUUGUGAGAAAAAUAUUGAGACUGCCGAAACUGGUGUUGCAGCUAAUGAGAAUGAAGGAAAUAUUUUUUUUGUGACUGAUGACAGGACAAAGUUUAAAAAUGAAUGGAUUUUAAAUUCGGGGUGUUCUUAUCACAUGUGUCCCAAUAGAGAUUUGUUUUGUACUUAUGAAUUUUAAAAUGGUGGAAUUGUUUUGAUGGACAAUAAGGCCGCUUGUAAUUAGGGGUGGCAAUUCGGGUCCAAAUCAGGUUGGCGGGUCGGGUUCGGGUCAACCCGUCAGAAAAUCUGUUGACCCGAACCCGACCCGCCAACCCGUGACGGGUCAGGUAUGCUGACCCGAACCCGAAAAUUUCAGGUUGGCGGGUCGGUCUGAAAUGACCCGAAACUUAAUUUUAAUUUAUUAAUUUAUCACUGUAAUUUCUAAUAAAAUCAAUUUCUCACAAAACUAAUUACAUAAUCAAGUAAUAAAAAUUUAAAUAAAUAAUUCCAAACCAAAUCUAAAAUAAAUUAAACACCGUAAAAGUGUUUUAUUCCAAACAAAAUAUAAAAUAAAUUAAAAUAGUAUAAAAGUAAAAACUAAUAUAAUAUAUUAUUUGUCUAAAUAUAAUAAUUUCAACUUCACACAAAUUAAAUAAAUUCAUUUAGGAUUAAGUAAUUAAUGCCUUUGAAAAAAAGAAUAACUUAGUUUAGUUAGAUAAAAUUAUUUUUAUAUUUAUUAAAUUAUUUUUAAUUCGUAAACGGGUCAUAUCGGGUCAUAUUAGGUCACUACGGGUUGACCCGAAAUCGACCUGUUUUCUUUUCGGGUUCAUCGGGUCCAACCCGAUUCUGACCCGAAUUCCCGAAACCUCAACCCAAACCCAUUAAUUUCGUGUUAGGUUCGUGUCGUAUUUUCAGGUCGUGUCGAAAAUUGCCACCCCUACUUAUAAUGUUGUUGGUAAGGGUACAAUCUGAAUUUAAAUGUAUGAUGGUAUUGUGAAAACGCUCACUAAUGUUAGACAUAUUUUUUAUUUGAAAAAUAAUCUCAUCUCUUUGGACACUUUAGAGGUUCUUGGGUGCAAAUACGCAGCUGCAAAUGGCAUUAUGAAGGUUUUUAAAGAUGCUCUCGUUGUAAUAAAAGCUUGCAGGGUGGGUAGUUUAUAUGUUUUGCAGCAGGGGCGGAUUUAAGGUGGGGGCACUGGGGGCACGGGUCCCCACUGUCCCCCUUAAAUUUCUAUAAUACUUAUACAAUUUUGACAUAAUUUUAAGUGUGCCCCCAGAGUUUUUUUAGAAAAGAUGUGAAAGAAUGGAUCACAAAAUUUAGUUUAGUUACUUAUAUUAAGAAAAAUAUACUUUGUGAAAUUCAAAAUGAUAAAAUUAUAAACCGUUAUCAAAAUAUGAAAAUUCGUCGUGAGCAAUUGUAAAUAGUUUAGUUUGUUUUUGAAAUAAAAUUAUUAUUACAUUAAUAAUUUUGAGUUUGUCUUUUUAUGUUUUUCAUGAAAUAAAUGUAUCAUUUGUACUUAUUGGUGAAUUUAUUUAUUUUUUUGCUUAAAAAAGUAGAUAAAAAGUGGAUAAAAAAUUUUAAUAUUAUUUUUGCCCCCAUUAAGAUUUGUUUCUGGCUCCGCCACUGUUUUGCAGGGAUUUACUGUCACAGGGUCGGUUGCAGUUUCGUCAUCAUCUUUGUCUGAUUCUGACAUCAACAAAUUGUGGCAUAUGCGUUUGGGACAUUUGAGCGAGAAAGGUUUGGGCAUACUAAGCAAAAGCGGACUUCUUUGCGAUCAGAGUACUCGGUCACUGAAAUUCUGUGAACAUUGUGUUUUUGGGAAGAAAAAAAGAGUUACUUUCAGUUCUCCAGCAAUCCAUAAGACGAAAGGUACUCUUGAUUAUAUUCAUUCAGAUCUUUGGGGUCCAUCUCGUAUUCCGUCUAAGGGUGGUGUCAGGUAUAUGUUGACUUUCAUUAAUGAUUAUUCAAGAAAAUUUUGGGUUUAUUUUCUUAAAUAUAAGAAUAAUGUUUACCUCACUUUCAAAUAAUAGAAAGUUUUGAUUGAAAAACAGACAAGUAAACAGAUCAAGCAGCUUAGAACAGAUAAUGGCAUGAAAUUUUAUCAAAGAGAAUUUGAAGAAAUUUGUAAAAUGAAGGAAUUGUUCGGUAUCGCACUGUCAGGAUGAUACCUUAGAAAAAUGGUGUGACCGAACGCAUGAACAUAACACUUUUGGAGAGAACGAGGUACAUGAUUUCUAACGCAGAAUUGGCAAAGAAUUUUUGGGUUGAGACAAUUUCUAUGGCCUAUUAUAUUGUCAACUGUGCUCCUUCUACUGCUCUUAAUUUCAAAACUCUUGAAGAAAUUUGAUCAGAUACUCCUGCUGAUUAUUCUGAUUUUAAAAUUUUUGGGUGUCCAGCAUACAUGCAAGUAAAUAAUGAAAAAUUAGAAUCUCGAGUUAAAAAAUAUAUUUUCCUUGGGUAAGCUUCUGGGGUGAAAUGAUACAGAUUAUGGUGUUUUGAUCCCAAAUUUUCAAAAUUUAUAAUCAAUAGAGAUGUUAUUUCUGAUGAAUUUUCUAUAUUCUCUUCCAAGAAGGAAUCGUCUAGUUUUUGUCAAGUGGAUGAUAGUAUGCAGAAGCAGGUGAAACUUGAGAUUGGUAGUUCUGGUCCUUCUAUUCAAAAAGUACCAGUAGAUGCAUUUGAAUCUACUGAUAAAAAUAAUUCAGAAGAGGAAGAAUAUUCCAUUGCCAGAAAUAGACCAAGGAGGGAUAUUCAACCACCACAAAGAUAUGCAAAUUUGGUUGCAUAUACUUUGUCUGUUGUAGAAGAAACUGAUGUAAUCGGUGAGCCUAAUACCUAUUCAGAGACGAUUUCUUGUGAUGACUCUGCUAAGUGGUUGAUUGCAAUGAAUUAAGAAAUUGAAUCUCUCCAUUGAAAUAGAACUUGAGUUCUUGUGAAGCCGUCUCCAGAUAAGAAAGUUGUUGGACGUAAAUAGGUUUUCAAGAAAAGAAAGUAUUUCAAGGGUUGAAGAUGCAAGAUAUAAAGCACAAUUGGUUGCAAAAAACUAUAGUCAGGUGCUAGGUGUUGAUUUUAAUAAAAUAUUUUCAUCUGUAGUUAAACAUAGCUCUAUUCGUGUUUUGCUUGCUUUAGUUGCCAUGAAUGAUUUGGAGUUGGAGCAGCUUGAUGUUAAGACAGUUUUCUUACAUGAUGAACUUGAAGAGAAAAUUUAUAUAAAGCAACUUCAAGGAUUUGAAAUUGAAGGAAAAGAAAACCAUGUUUAUUUGCUAAAGAAAUCCUUGUAUGGAUUGAAACAAUUUCCAAAAUAGUGGUAUAAGUGGUUUAACACUUUUAUGUUGGGUCAUAGUUAUUCAAGGAGCAUGUAUGAUAGUUGCGUUUACUUCCGAAAGUUAGAUGAUGGUUCUUUCAUUUAUUUGCUGCUUUAUGUUGAUGACAUGCUUAUUGCUGCCAAGAAUUUGUCAGAAAUUCACACUUUGAAGUUGCAGUUAAAUAAUGAAUUUGAAAUGAAAUAUUUGGGAGUAGUUAAACAAAUUAUUGGCAUGAAGAUCAAAAGAGACCGAGGAGCUGGAAAGUUAUUUUUGACUCAAGAAAAUUACCUUGAAAAGGUCUUAGAGAAGUUUGGCAUGAAAGAUGUUAAACCUGUGACUACUCCUCUUGCUAGUCAUUUUCGACUAUCUGCUAUUCAAUCGCCACAGUCAGUUGAAGAGAAAGAAUAUAUACCACGGGUUCCUUAUUCCAGUACAGUCGGCAGUAUUAUGUAUGCAAUAAUUUGUACUCGUCCAGAUAUUGCACAAGCGGUUAAUGUGGUUAGCAAGUGUAUGUCUUGUCCUGAAAAAAUACAUUGGCAGGUUGUGAAGUGGAUUCUUAGAUACUUGCGAGGGAUUUCAAACUUUUGUUUGGAGUUUAGGAGAAAUAAUGACACUUUGGUUGGUUUUGUAGAUUCUGACUAUGUUGGGAAUCUUAACAAGAGAAAAUUAUUUUCAGGUUACGUAUUCUGCAUUGGCGGUUGUGCAGUUAGUUGGAAAGCUACUUUAAAAUCUAUUUAGCUUUAUCUACUACGAAGGCAGAAUAUAUGGCCAUGAUCUAGGCAAUCAAAAAAUCCUUAUGAUUGAAGAGUUUGUUUGGUAAACUUAGUCUAAAUCAAGAUAUUACUACUAUUUACUGUGAUAGUCAAAGUGCUAUUCAUUUGACUAAAUACCAGUUGUAUCAUGAAAGAACGAAACACAUUGAUGUAAAAUUUCAUUUCAUCCGAAAUACCAUUGCUGAGGGAAAAAUGCUUAUUCAGAAAAUCAGUACCAAGGAGAAUCCUGCUGACAUGUUCACGAAACCUCUUCCAGUUUACAAGUUCAAACAAUGUUUGAUGUAGACACCAAAAUUUUAGCAUUUUUAUUUCAUUUUAAUUGACUUUGUUCAAAUUUUUGUUUAUUUGUUUUAUUACUAUUUUGUUAAGAAAAUCAUUUUUUAUUAAUUAAUUAAUUAAUUCAUCGGAAAAGAAAAGAAAAGGAAGAAAACAAAGAUCAAAUCAGUAAAAAAAAAAAUUUUUUGAACGCACGCGCACACCUUCUUCUUGCUGGGUUCGUACCAGAAACCAGAAAACAGUACAAGGAAGAUGCAGCUCCAUUUCCUUUCAUUUUUCACCCUUUUUUCUUCAUUUUUUUUCGCUCCAUUGAUCAUUCCAGUACCAAUCCACCUGGCCUUGAUCCAAGCAUCAAGAAUCUCAUUGAACAAAGUCAAUCCAAUGGCUUAAAAGAUUGGCUGCAAAAUUGGGGUUUCAUAGGAACCCUUGAGAUGAGGGUUCCAAACCCUUAUCUGGUAUAAAAAAGAUAAAAAACAGAGAGGGGCGGCGGAACAAGGGAUUAGAGGGAGAGAAAAACAGUAAAAAAAGGAGAAAAAAAAUCAAGAGAGAAAGAGAGAAAUUUUCGUCAACAAAAAAAACUGAGCCAGGGUUGGAGAUUUAGGGACUUUCCCGGCCAUUUUCCGAACGGAUCAGAGAUUAUUUUGGAAAUAUUUUUCUUUCUAGGUAAUCUACGUUGGUAGAGGAGGAAGUUUUGUGUUGGAGUUUUUCAGAAAAUACCACCACAACACCUUCAAAUCCGAGCCCAAAUUCCCCAGGUUAAGAGCUCUUGACUACAAUCUGGAUUUUCGUCCUUGGGGGAUUUUGCUCAUCUUCCUGUGGAUUUCCAUGGCAAUUUCGACUCCAUAAGGUGGUUAAGGUAACCGUAGUUCCCUUCCUGACUUGAUUUAACAUAUUUUUUAUGAGGAACAAAACCUUUUGGAUGUGAACUUUGAACUUUUGCUGCUGGUUUGAUGGGUUUGCUUCAUGUUUCUGCCAUGCUUGAUUUCAGAUGAUUUGCUUGGUCAUGGCCCUUUUAUGUUUGAGUUUAGCUUUGGGGUUAUGAAAAUAAAAAAGGCAUGAGUAUGGGGUCUUGUUUGCUUGGAUUUUGUUUGUGUGGUUUCUGGGUCAUAAAGCUUCGUAAAUUGCAGUAAAUUGCAAGAAGAAGAAUGAAGAAGAAAGCUUCGCUUUUGAUUUGCAUGAGUUUUUUUAAAAUUUCAUUUUGGUCCUUAAACUUUUGCAUAAUUUCACUAUGGCUUGAAAACUGUUGCAAUCGAACCAUUUCUGCCCCCCAUUGAGGUCUAAUCCUCUUUUUCAUAUUUCAAAUGCAUUUUCUGGAAUUCAGAGUAUAACCAAUCUUUAAUAAAUUUUAGUAGAUUUUUUAUAUUUUUGGGUUUAGUAAAAAUAGUUAGAGGGUUGAAUUAAGGUUUGUUUGGUUGGAUUUUGGUAUAAAAAUCUGGUCUAUUAGGCUUGGGUUUUAGAAAUGGGUUGUCGGCUUAUUUUCUGGGUUUUUGAUUUGGAUUUAGGAGGUUAAAAUCCAACACUUUUGGUUGGGUUUUGAUUAAUUUGAUUGGAUUUUAAAUCUGGGUUUAAUUGGUAAAAACAAGUGGGCUGACCUGCUUCUUUCUUGGACUUCCAGUCGGACCAAGUGAUUUUGGGCCCAAACUCAAGGCAAAAAUGGCCAUUGGCCUCUACCGGAAACUAGAAAAUGAAAUUGUAAAUCAGCCCUUUCUUUUUAAAUAAUUAUAUUACGGCCUUAAAAACCUUUAAUUUCUUUCAAUCAGGUCCUUAAUUUAAUUGCAAAUAGAUCCCUAAACUUUGUUUUUCUUCAAUUUGAACCCCUAAUAUUUAGAAUAAUCAUAAAUAGACCCCUAAAAAUUUUCUUAAUUUUUCAAUUAGGUCCCUACUUGUUUUAAUUUUCUUAAAUAUAGGUUGUUUACUUCCAUUUAAAUGUUUUAAUUAAUCAAUUUUAUUUCGUUACAUGUUAUUUCUUUUUAUUUGUUAAUUAAAGUGAUGCAUUGACCUUUUUAUUUAUUUUUUGGAGGGUAAAUAAGAAAAUUUUUAUUUCCUUAGGUCAUCAAUUCAAGGGAGGUAUAUUCUAUCCUUUAUUUUUAUUUUAUUUUAUUUUAUUCUAUGUGCUCCUAUGUGAUUUUAUGUGUUUAAUUGCAUAAUUUUUGAAUGUUUUAUUUUAUUUUCAUUUAUUUAUUUAUUUAGUCAUUUUAUUUGUUUUAAUUUUGUGUAUUUAUUUUAAUCUAAUUUAAUUUUUAAUCAUUCGGAAGGCAAUUAAAUGCUAAAAUUAUAAUAGUUAGACUAUUAUUUUAUUUCAUUCUUUACCCCUUUAGAUUGUAAUUAGGCCUUUUAUUUCAUUCUUUAUCCCCUUUAGAUUGUAAUUAAAGCUCUCGAAUGUAAUAGUUAGGUCUUUAUUUGUUUUAUUUGUUUUGUGUGUUUUGCAUGAUUGUGUGUUUAUGUGUUGCUCGCUUUCUUAGGGGGUCUUGCAUUUAGAUACCAUAAUUAUGUACUAUGUGCUACAUAUGAUUCAUGUGUUUAUUAUGUUUUACUAGGGGGGAGUGCCCGCGCAUCGCACGAGUGUUUAGUGCCUAUGGGGAAGGAGGUUUUUUUGUUGAAUAAACAAUAGUAUAUUGUGAGAAUAAAUAAAAUUUAGUAUGAAAAGAUAAAUGAUAUAAUCAAUCAAUUCACACAGCAUUACAAUAAAACUGUGUCAAAUUGAAGGUCGUUGAUAAUGCAGAAAGGCAGAGCAAUACAGAAAGCUAACCUUAUUCCAAAAUCCCCACCGAGAACUCUUUCUUUUUGUUGCUCCAAACCUAGAAGAUUAUAACCAACCCAGACCAAUUGGGGUUAGACAACGCGAAAAAUGCUAUCUUGCAGUUAGGCAACGCGAUAAGACUCGUUAAUUGUAGAUACUAAGAACACACCGACAAAAUUAAGAGAGGAACUGAAGAAUUGGGGGGGGGGUGAAAUCUAACCUCAUGCUGAACCACCAGGAGUAGUUGGGACUGAAGAGCAUUCUGAGCUGAUUAGUAUGAAAUCAGGUAGAAUUAUGUCAAUCCUAGAAUGCAAACAGGGAAAAACUGAUAAUCAACCGUUUAGGCAUUAACAUACCAACGGUUCGGCAAUUGAAUUGGGCGUAAUUAAUGACGAAAUAAUAGUUAAUUUCAGAAUUAAGUUCGGAUAGAAGAGAAAAUGAUGAGGCAAAUCGUUGUAGACAAAGGCAAAAAGGGAAAACUUAACUCCUGAAUCUGAAAGGGGAUAAAUUGACUAAUAUUUGUGGCUCAUAAAUACAGAUUAUAAAUGAUAGAGAAAUGGGUUUCUACCAUUGAUAGAGAAAUCGUUGGCUCAUUUCCUAAAUCCGAGUGCAUUCAAACGUUUCAGACAAAGCAACAUCUCAAACGGUUAUCUGCGGCUGAAAACGGAAAUUAUUGGUAGUUAAGGGAUAUUCCGAUAAUUACACCAACAUACAAGCAUAUAUGGGUUGUACAAAAUGCAAAAACGGUUGUACAUUAAUUACACAUUCCAUCAAUACCUAGAUGGCUCAUCAAUGACAACUUUAAAUCAAUAAACAUACCCAAAUAUAUGCUUCCUUAACUUGUACUUAAAGUUUUUAAACUAAUACACAAUAUUUCAUAUUUCCAAAAAAUCCUCACCUAUGCGGUUGAAAUUCAACAUAUUCUUUAACAAAAAUUCAAUCUUAUAUAGUAUAAGGAUAUAAUUUAUUUGAUUAUAAUAAAUGCAUGACGUCACCACACUAGUCCAACGCUAGUUGUGACCUCCAUUUUCCGACACCACACUAGUUCAAUGCUAGUUGUGGUCUUUUGUUUCGAUUUCUCGCUAGUCCAAUACUAGUGAGAACUUAUAGACAUGGGUUAGUCCAACGCUAGACCCUUAAGGACCGUUUACGUGUUAGACCAUGUUUGUAUGACACAAUCACUACAUUUUCAUGCAAUAUUUUUCACUUUUUAGGGUUUCUUCAUUUUUGCAUGACAUUUUUCCUAUAUAUCCCUUAUCCCAUAUUUCCCCUUUAUAUAUUCCCUAUCCCUAUGUGUGAAACAUAGUAUUUAGAUUUGCAUCUCAUUUAGGAAAUUAGGGGUAGAUUAGUGCAUUUGCCUGAUUAAAUUAGGGAGAUAACCCAUCGAAUAUGUGAUAUGGACGAGUAUGGCUCUCUAACCUUAACACGUUCGUAUUCCCUCUAUCAAAGAGAAAAUUGAAAUCACGAAUGUUAGUUCUCCUCACCCAUUAUAAUGCAUUCCUUUAAGUCAUGUAUAUUUGUAUAUAUCAUUAUCUUCUUUUCUUUUCUUUCCUUCGAAUCUCAUAUGUUACAUAUUCGUGACCUUUUCAAAGAGUCACUCUUGGGCAUCACAAUUAAUGCGAUUUGCCCCAAUUAAGUUUUAAAGAGAUAUUUCGACCCCCCGAUAUCCUCCUAGGUUUAGGUUUUACAUCCAUAUAGUGACAUCAAAAUGUGAUAAAUUUUUAGAUUAAAAUAAGAAAAUUUUUGACUAAAUCACGUAAUUAGCCUUGGUUAGGUUGAAAGGAUGCUUUGAAUUUUAUCCUUGCCUUCCCUUCCUUCAAAUGUAACUCUCGACCCAUUUUCUCUUGAUUUUCGUAGACUUGGAGUCGUUUAAAAAGGGUUUUCUUCUACUUUUUCUUUAAAACUUCAUUUUAGGUGACUUGAUACACUUUAACUCAAUACCAAAUAGUGAUUCCUAUUUUUCAUUAAAAAUUCUUUUUAAACUAUUAUUUUUUGGUCAAAACCGUCGCACUUUUUAGUCCCAUUUAGGCCUAUUUUUUUAUUUUCUAAAAAUUAAAAACUCAUUUUUACUCAAAAUUAAUAAAAAUUCAUUUUUACGAACCCGUAACUUUUUUUUUUCCAAAAAAUGAGGUGCGACACUUGAAUUGGGCAGAUAUUCGUUGUUGGUAAUUUAGACUCAGUGGGGCUUAUGUGGAAAGGUGGAGCAGUUUUUGCUAUUGUCGAUGUUGGGGACACGCCAAGGUGGAAAUUUGUCAAGGUGGCGUUGUCCCACAUUGUCUUUUGUAUAAGGGAGCAUUUCCCUUAGUUACCUAUAAAUAUAGUGGGCAUAUGAUGGAGUUAAGUGCACCAAAAUCAGGAGAGCAUUAAUGGGUUAUUUGAGCAUUUGGGUCAUUAAAUCUUUUGUUUAGUUAAAUAUUUUUGGCCUUUCUUGUGUUUUAAUAUUAAGUGUUUUGGGGCUAAGAACACUUUCCUGAGGCAUUUUUUGUACUUUAUUUUUCAUAGUAAAAUAUUGCUCCUCUCUCAUCCGUGGACGUAGGCCAAUUUGAUCGUACCACGUAAAUUCUUGUGUUUCUGUUUUAUUUAUUUCUGCAUUGUUAUUUGUCUUCGGGGUUGCCAAAAUCCUUUCGUCAAUAUUCUAGGGUCAGACUUAACAUAUAAUGUGACGCCCUCACUUCUCCCAAGGGCAUACCCAAGGGUAUCGGCGGGGUACCUGCCUAACUCUCGCCAGGACUCAGGUCCAUUUAUACUUAAACUAACGAGCAAUUAAUGGCUAAAAGGGCAAAUUAAAUAAAAUUCGUUUCCUUCAAUAUAUUCAAACUUACAACACAAGAAUCCAAUAUAUGCAUUCAGAUUUCCAAAAUACAAGUUCAUAACCAGCCCUUAAAUUUCAUUUCCAAAGUUCUAAAAUAUCAAAAACAAGUCGAUCUCUUCAAAACAUCUCCGAUCCAGAUCCCCGUUAAGGAAAACAACUAAUGGGGUAAGCAAUUGCUCAGUGAGGCCAGGAAAAAAAUACAUAUAUAUAACAUGCGCACGUAGUUCAAGUAACAUGAUCAAGUGAUCAAAAGUAAUUGUCAUGUAGUUUCAAGUAUCGGCAAGUACUCAUAAAUACAAACAAUUCAAGGAUACUGGAGCUCUUCGGAGUUCAUUUCCAGAUUAUUUGCCAUAGUUCCGAUCCACGAACCAGGGGUUGACACUUCGUCAACCGAAUAAAUAUCCAAUCUAUAGAUCUCCACUUACUUUCCUCCAUUCAUCAUUUCACCCUCUCGGAUCCGUAACCAACCGGCAUGUAAAGGCGAUACUAUACAAGUAUGCCAAACUAGAUCUCAAAAGAUCAAGUUUCAGAUCCCAAGAUUUACCACGUUUUCCCGACCAAGACCUCACAAUUGGCUGCGAGAUUACGAGAUUUAACCAUUGGGUUUGGGCGUCCCCACAGGUCAGGUUUUCAAAAACAAAUCAAGUUUUAGUCGAUGAGAUUUUCUAUGCAUUCGACUUCAGGUCAUGUACAUGUAAAAUCUAGUAAUUUCAUGUAAUUCAUGUAGCAAGUCAUGUAUUGAUCCAAGUAAACGAGAUGAAGUGCGGUAAAGUACACAUUUCUCUCAACAAGUAUAGUUCAUGUAACAACAAGUUCAAGUAGAGUUCAUGUAGGCAACAAAUCUCAAGUGAAGUACAAGUAAACAUGCACUUGACACUCACCAAGUAUCAAAAGUCAAAGUUUGAGAAAUUAGCUCUAACACGCUUCGCCGAGAGUUCCCUCGAAGUCCUCUUGAGAUCCUGAAGGUAUGGAAUAAUGCAUUGUAUAUCAAAUUCCAGGCCAUACAGUAUUCGUGUAAAGAAAAGAAAUAGUCAAUUUUGACUCCAAAAUUCAAGUUUCCAAAGUACUUCAGUUCAUAAGAAGCCGACUUUCAAAUGAGGUCUCAAGUGAUAGGUGAACUCAAAUUCACCAUGAAAAUAGGUUUGAAAUGCUCUAAGAGUUGUAAAAUGUAACCUAUGCCCUUAAAAGAACAUUUAGGUCCAAAUUGGAAAUUUUCACUUUUCGAGUCAUUCUUGGAAAAAUCAGUUCGGAAGUUUGGAAAGUCUAAAAAUGGAAAAUUUUAUACCGUCAGAAACUUCAUUUGAAACAUAACAACUUUGUAGAGGGUCACUUUCCAAGAAUCAAAUCAGAAACAAGUCAAUUUCUCCAAGAAAGUUUACUUUUAAUUGAAGAUAGGUUAAAACAGUCCAAGUUUUUCCAAUAACUUUGGAAUUUUGCCAAAAUCAUAGAAUCAAAACUAGCCUUUGAAAUUUGAUAUGCAGGUAAAGUUCCAAUCCAGGUUUCAAAUAAAAAAAAUGGAACUCGAUUCCAAUGUUCCUAGCUCAAGAAAUAAAAGUUGAUGUUUCGCUAAAAUUCCUGGACUGUUGGCCUUUCCAGAAAUUUUCCAGAUUUAAUGCACUUCGCUAAUUAGGCCGUAUCUCACUCGAUUCUCAGUGAAAUUGAAAACAGUUGGUGGCUUUAGAAACUAGGUUUACAAGGCCAUAUUUACGUAGAAGAAAUAAUUUCCAAAAUCCAGACAUAAGUGGUUCAAAAUCAAGCAACAAAAUGGAUUUUCUGGACAGUCUCGGCAUGAACAGUAAUAAACAGGCAGCCAACUUUCAAGACUCGCCACGAAUCGUUCGGGACGAACUAGAAAAUGAGCUUGGUAUCAUUUUAAAGUUCUAAGAGUCUAUUUUCAAAUGCCACAAACGGCACUCAAUUUUGAUCAUCGAGAAAAACAUUAUGAUCUCCACAAAAUCACUGGUCAGAAAAUUUCUGGACCUAGUCCAGUUUUGCCUCUUUGCUCAUAACUCAAAAUUUAUCCAACCAAAUUGGCUAAUUUUUUUGUAGACAACCACUACACACAUAACACAACAUAUAUCACUCACAUUUGUAGCCAAUUUAUGCACGAAAAUAUCAAAGCAAAAUAGGGCGGCAAGUCCUUGAAAUUUCAGACAAUACCUUCUCCAAAUUUCUAACUUUCUUCCAACUUCAUUCCAUCAAUCAUUCUAUAUACAUGUAACAUAGCACAAUAUCAGCAACCACAACAUGUCAAUUCAUCAAAUCAGCCACCAAUAAGCAUCCUCAAGCCCUCAAGCAUGUCAUGAAAUUGCAAGAAAAUAAUUACUCAACCAAUCAACCCAAAUUCUACCAUAGGUUGCAAACCCAUGCUACCUUUGCUCCAUUUGAACUAUAAUUUUGCAAGAUUGAAGUGUGGGUGAGUGAGUUACCUCAAGAACUUAGUUGGACAGCUUUAGGGCAAAAAUUUUGACCGAAAUUCCUCCAAGAAAACUGAUGAACAGCCCCCUCUUCCAAGCUAGGAUCAAAACCCUCUAAUGGAUGAUGAAAUUUGGAAGUGGAUUGAAGCAAGUUUGUGAGGAUUUUGUCUAGAUUUUUCUCUUCCCUUUUUUUUUCUUCCUAUUUUCGGCCAAAUAGAGAGUGAAGAGAGGAGAGAGAGUGAAAUCAGAUUUUGUAAUGAAAGUGGAGAGAAUUGGUGACUUAAUGGUUAAGUCUAAGUGUCAACUCAUGCUAGAUCCGUUUAGGGUCUUCGCGUGUCCAAUUUUCGAGCUCGUUUGCAACUUUUGUGCACUAAACCUCUGAGGUAAUUCUCCUAGUACAUUAAUAGUUCAUUACUAGUAGUCUCAUGUUCUUAAAAUCUCAAAUUAAUCAAAUUAAUGUGCCUGUCGAGGCCUUUUCGGCGCGCUCGCGUAUAAAGGUCAAAUUUAAGGAUUUUCUCGUUUGAACUUGGAAAUUCAACAUAUUCGAUUCUAAAACUCUACAAUAUGAUAAUCCAAGUAUAUAUAACAAUAAAAAUCACGAUAAGCAAUUCAUCUUGAAUAAAUUUGGGCAUUAAAAUAAUAUACGCUUCAAUAACCAAUCGGUAAAAUUUAUUUUCGAGAAAUUCAUGUACUUUAGUAAAAUUUUUUUUUGGGUAACUCGAGUACGAAAUAUUUUUAAAAUGACCAAUUUAAUAAUAUUUUGAAAUAAUAAAAUUAUGAAUCCUCACAUAUAACACUGUAAACGGUAGAAAUCAUGUUUUAGUAGCAAAUGGAAAUUAGUUAAGACUUGAAAGGGUGUCUUUUUUUUAAUUGAAAAAGUGAUGUUAAUUUAAGGAAAGUGUCUAUAUACAAAUGAUAUAUAAUAUACUAGCAAAAAAUAAGGCACAUUAAAUAAUGUCUAUUGAACACUAGGUAGAAAAAAUCUGUGUUGGACAUGUAUCUAGACACAGUGGAAACAUUAUACAAUAAACAAUGUCCAUUGAAUACUAAGUAGAGAACGUAAGACCCUGUAAAUUUUAUCAUUUUCUAGGUUUUAUUCUAUUUAAUGGCAUGUUUUUCUGCAUUUUCUUUAUUAGCAAAAAUUUUCUAGAUAAUUUUUAUGAGUAAAUAUAGUUUUAAGAUGAUUUUUCUAUUAUCGGUUAGUUUUUGAGAAAUUAAGAGCGUAUACCGGACGUGGAACCCGCUAGUGCAGAAAGUUCGGAAAAAUUCGACCAGUUAGGUUAAGUUUUGGAUAUCGGGUUUACUUUAACAAGUGUUAAGAGAUAACUAAAGGUUACUAAAUGGAUUAGUGUGAGAGGGACAAAAGGAUAGCCAUGCAUCAAUGGUGGUGACAAGUGUCAUUUGGAGAUUUAUUCUUACUUUUUGACCACUAUUCAGUACUUUAUUAAUUAAUACCAAAAUUGACCAAAAUUCAUCAUCUUCUCUUCCUCUCUUGGCCAACUCUCUCUCUCAAGAAGACAAGGAAAGAAAACUCUCAACCUUUUGCUUCUAAUCUUGCCUAAAUCUUGUGUUUCAACCGAUUAAACUUGAAAUUUCUCCAUAAAAAUCCUUAAUUUAGUGAUUAUGAGGUGAUUAGUGAAGUGGUUUGGAAGAUUAAGGUGCUAAGUUGCUCCUUUUCUUGGGUUGUUAAGGUGAGUAGCUAAGGGACCUCUCUUUCUUCUCAAUAAUGUUUAAUUAGUGACUUAUGUGAGAUGAAGUGAUGAUUUUAGGUGUUGUUUCAUGAUUUUUGGUAGAAAUUGGUGAAGUUUUAUAUUUAUUCAUGAUUUUUCUGUUUUAAUAUGAUUAAUAUUGUGUGGCCAUGGAUGAUGGUUGGGAAUGGGUUAGAAUGAAGCUAUAGUGCGUAAAUUGUGGCUAUUUGCGGAAAAUUUCCGCUUUGAAAGGAAAUUUCGGAAUUAGGGUUUCAAUUAACCCCAUUCUGCCCGGUACUAUUUUCCCUAGUUAGAGGCCAAAUUAGCCAUAGGUUAAAACAUGAAAGUUUUAUAGAAUGAUGUUUUAUAGUUUCCUGCAAAAUUUCAGGCCAAUCGGAGUAACGUACCUAUGAAAAGACUGAAAUACCCCUGCUGUCCUGUUUCUGUCCGAAACUGAUAAUCAGCUUUGGUAAUUGGUAAAUUUGAUUGGGAAUAGUACUGAUUUGGUUGUUGAUGUCUUCUUAAGAAAUAUAGCCUGGUAUCUUAGCUUUCGGAUGGCUUUGGAAUCACUUGAAUUGGAUUUUGGUAGCCCGAAUUAUGAUUAUUUAACCAGAAUGCGGUUCGUCAACCUGUUUAUGCGGUUCUGGUUUGGUACAAUUGAACUUUUGACCUAGUUGCACUACAAACUGGACUGAGUGGCCUUCUUCAACAUUGUAACCCUUUCUGUUAGCUUCGAAAUGGUGUAUAUUUUACAUCCAUCCGAUAAUCGUAGUGCCGGUUGUAUCCAAUACGCUAAAAGAUGUCAAAACUAUUUUUGGGUUUUAGAGUUUAACUUUCAUUUCCGGACUUUUCCUAGCUUACUUUAGUACUUAUACGUUCUAAUGGAGCCUUAUUUUUGGUAGUAUGUGGAAUUGGUUUAUGACUUGUAAUCGAGUCUUAUUGUGUUUGUUUGAAUAUUUUAGGGCGUGACGGUGAUUCAAGACGCUCUUUGGGCGGAAGUUUAUGAAAUUUCACUUGCUUGCUUGGUGAGUGUACUACUCACUUGAUUGUUACUAUGUGGCUUUGUUACAUUGAAAAUCGAUGAUUUGAUGGCUUAAUUGCAUUGUUGACCUUGAUUGAGGUGAGGGUGUAUUUGAUCACUCUCACCCUUUUAUCUUAUAUGACUGUUUACUGUGUAAUUGAGUGAUACAUGCAAAUACUUGAUUUGGUGUCGUUUGAACGAGUAUCCAACGGCCAUUACUAUUACUACUGAACUCAACCCCAUUGGUAGUCGAUUGAAUCGAGCCAGCGACGGUUUGGUCGGAAAAAUUGACGAGCCAUAGGGACUGUUAUAUGGAAUCUUGUAGUAUAAGACUUUCGAUUUCGGUAUACUCGAGUAUUACCAAAAUUAUACUGUAUGGAGUUCGGGCCCGGUAGGGGUAUGUUGGGUGGAAAGAAUGGAAGUAAAGUGGAGCCUACGGUUGGUUACCUUGUAAACAUUGACGGAGGGUCAAUGAAAUCCGAUCAAGUAUACAAGCGAGGAAAGGGGCUCCUGAGAGUCGUCCGUAUCCUUUUACCCAUUCUAAUGAUGUGUGCUCUUGGCUUACUUCCUAUUAGAUGAAUUGGAAUGAAAUGCUAUAUGCUUAUAUGAACUUCGUUGCUUGAGUGGUAGUAUAUCACUGGGCGUAAGCUCACUCUAUUCCCUUUUGUUUUUCUUACAGGAAUUUGAAUACUUUUGGAAAGGCUAUGAAUGUUGGUUGCCGAGUUGAGCUUAUGUGAAUGUAUUUUGAAUAGCUCCUUUUGGGCAAAACCCUAAGUGUAUUUUGAUCCAACCAAUUCGUUGAGUUGUAAUUUGCAAACCGUACAUGUAUAAGCUUGUUGGAUAACUGUUGUAUGCUAUUUUGACUUGUUUAAACGCGCUUGUACAUUCCGAAACGUUUUAGAUCGCAUUGAACUAUCCCGUUAGUCCUGGCGAGAGUUGAGCAGGCAGUCCGCUAACCCUUCUAGUUCGCCUUAGGGGGAGGUGGGGCUCUCACAGAGAAAAUCUUUGAUGGAUACAGACAUAGACAUAUGGGAAACAUUAUACAAUUAACCAACUCAGUCUUUAUUCAUUCCUAACUAGGAUUAUCAAUGGAUCAGUUUCACAAGUGUUUGACUUAAAAUAUGCAUCCUAAUCCAUAUAUAAUAUCUUUCGAUGAUUCUAAACUCAAUAAAUAGAAUGAUUUCCACUACCAAAUUUAAGCAAAAUUUAAAAUUCAAACCAUAUUUGACAUAAAGGAUAAAAAAAAAUGUACACUGUCAGAGAUAGAACUGUAAACAAACUGAAUUGAACCGAGUAUCUCAUGUUUGAGCUCUGUUCGUUAAGCGAUUCGAACAACAUUCGUGUUCGUUCGUUAAUUUUUGAACUCCAAACCUAUGUUCGUGUUCGGCUCGUUAAGCAAAAUUCGUGUUCGAGUUCGAGUUUGUGUUCGGCUCGUUUAACAUAAACGAGCUGUUCGCGAACAUGUUUGAAAUACUCGAAUCCAAAUUAUUUUAAACCUUAAAUAUGCCAUGCAAAUCAUUAAUCAUUCUCAAAAACAAUUAAAGCACUAAGUGACUAAAUUCUAUUAUUCAUUAGCUAUAUAACUAUCAUUAAUAUAAAAACAACAAAUAAAACAAAAUAAUUUGCCCUCCAAAUAUAAAAAUCCAGCCAUAAAAUUAACCCUAAAAUUUGUCAAAUGAUAAUUAUGUUCAUGUUCGCGAACGUUCAUUAAAACUCGCGAACAUACUCGUGUUCGCUCGAUUAUUAAUCGAACAAAAAAAUUCAUUCGAACUCGAUUCGUUUAAGGUUUCGAACGAGCCUUUCACGAACAUGAAUGAGUCGAAACGAACCGAGUUACCGAACAGCUCGGUUCGUUUAACAGCUCUAGUCAGAGAUUCACCUUGGGGUUUUGAAUUUGCCGCUGCAUACCCCCCAUCCCUGCCCUACGUCCAUAUGCUUGUCCUGUGGGUGAUUGCAUGCAGGGCCCUUCUGCAGCAAAUGCAGGAGGUGACGGGUUCCCUUGUGCAGCAAAUCACUAUCCAGACCACUUGGACAAUAUAGGAUUAUACACUAGCUUUGGCUCCAUUAUUUUUUGUUAAUCAAGGAUUUUAAGGCCAUAUUUUGCCUUUUAUAUCUUGUUUAGAACUCCCACCUCUCCCCCUCCCCUUAUGGACUUGCUAACCUCAUAGAGGCUGAUAGGAGAGGAUUUAAUCAUGUAAGACAUUUUACUACUGAAUUUAUGCAGUAUAUUGCCGUACUAAAAAAAAGUUUAAAUGUUGUUCUACUUUUAAUCUGCAUGAAUAAUGGUUUUCUCUGUGUUAGUUGUAACGGUACAUCUUGCAAACUUGUUUGUGUUGGAAUAUUACAAAAAUGUGAAAGUCCAAGUGUGGCUGUGCUACAUAUGAAAGCAAAAUUGAGAGAAAUAAAGAACAGAACAAAAUGUAUCUUAAUUGGUAAUACAUUUUGUCUAUAAUAAACAGUUUACGUGUUCCAAGUAUCAAAAAAUAAUUGAGAAAUUAUUGUUGAUUCUUUUUAAAAAAUUAAAAAUGAAAUAACAUAAAAGGAGGGUAGAACAGUUUUUUUCUUUUUUUUUUUUUUUUUUCUAACGGGCGGGUAUAACAGUUGGUCCUUUUCUUCUUUAGCUUAACUAACGUCACUUACAGGCCAUUUGCAUUUAGUUUGACCCUUAAGAAACAUUUUCAAGUUUCAUUCGAGAUGUUUCCAUUAGUUGCUCUUUUUUUUUCCCCUAAUGCCAACUCGAGAAUCUUUUGUUAAAUGAAAUAAGUACAAACGACAUGUACUAAGUAGCGAAAAUCUAAAUAAUUUAUCUCUGUUCAUUAUUGUCAAGUGUAAAUUAAUCCCAUACACCUCCUUGUCUUCUUAGAGUAAAAAAUCUUUUAACCUAUGCCUACCCAAAAAAUCUUUCUUGUAGAUGGAGUAUCAGAGACCUUUUAUAAGUUAUGUUAGGACCCUUACUAACAAAUAUCAAAAUGCCUACUGUUUCUUUCUAUCAAGAAAAUCUUACCAUAAUUCAUAACUACAAAUAAUAUCUUUGACUAUUUGAUUGAUUUGAUUAAUCAUUUUAUUGAAUACGAUAUCAAUUAACCAAAUAUAGCAGUCAAUUAUUAUUAAAUAGAAGAUACUAAUUAAUCAUUGAUUGAAUAUUAAUCAUUAAUUAAGAUAUCAAUUACUUGAGAAUCAAUCAUGUGAGUUAUAAUGUCUUAAAAAGAUUAGUUUUACUUCUUUGUGAAGUAAUCAUCAACGCAUAAACAUAUAUAAAGCAUCAAUAAAGUGGACCCCAAUUCUAGGGGGAAAAAAAAAGUGAACCUUAAUUGGUAUAGCAUUUCACGUGCAUUUACGGAUGCAAAUUCGAGUCACAAAGGUUAGGUACAAUUAUACUAUCAAUCCUUUUUGAAAAUAAGAUAUUUAUAACAAUGUAAAUGGUAUAAAAUGAGUUUUAGUAGCCAAUGGAAACUAGUUAAGACUUAAAACGGUGUCUUCUUCUUCUACUUCUUCUUUUUUUUUUUUUUGAAAAAGUGAUGUUAAUUUAAAGAAAGUGUCUAAACACCAACGACUGUUUGGAUGGGAGUGUGUUUUAAAACUAAUUUUUUAAAUAUAAUAAAAUUUUUUUAAAAAUAUUCUAAAAGAUAAUCUAAAAAUUAGUUUAAAUUUUUUUAAAAUUUUAAAAAAUAUCUCAAAAUAUAUUCUAGAAACUCUUCUACUCUUAAAUAUUCCAAAAUAUUUUCUGAAAAUAUCUCAAAAUAUAAUUUAAAAACUCUGCUACAGCAAAAUUUUUUAAAAACACUCCCAAAAUCAGCUAAUAUACUAGGUAAAAAAUAAUACCGGGUAGAAAAAAUCUUUGUUGGAUGCGUAACUAGACACAGCGGAAACAUUGUACAAUUAACCAACACGGCCUUUCAUUCAUUCUUAGCUUUGUCAAUCUGUAUCUGUCCUUGUCUUUGCCUUCGUGGGAUUACAUUGGCCUAAUAUUUUCUCAACCAUUAAUUCCGUGGUCAAAAGUUUAGGCCUUCAAGGGAAUAUUCACGGCAAAAUUUCCGGUUCCCAUUACAUUUCCAUCAAUUUUUUUGCAGUUUCGUCCAGCCUGCACUCUGAUAAUCUAGUUGUAUGGUACUGACUUCAACAAGUAUAUAAUACAGCUCUCCUUUUGUUCUGUCCUGGUGCUUAUUUAAUAACAUCCUUGGAACGCUACUAUUAGAACAACUUUCAGUUGACAAAUUUCAUGCUGUCCCCUGCCAUGUUCCCCUUUCUUCUCCUUCUUGUUCUUUUUCCUUUUUUCACUUCAAUUUCUCAACCCUUUUGUGUUGCAGCUUCAGAUUCAAUCUAUGACAAUUUUGCAAGUUGUCUAACAAAAAAUGGAAUCCCAAGUGGCCAAAUUUCUAACAUUCUGUAUAGUCCAACAAAUACUUCAUUCAACUCAGUAUUACAGGCCUAUGUUAGAAACCUUAGGUUCAACACAUCCAGUACUAGAAAGCCAUCCAUAAUUGUCGCACCCUUGGAAAUCCCACAUGUUCAAGCAGCAGUUUUGUGCACCAAAGGAGCGGGGCUGGAGCUAAAAAUCCGUAGCGGCGGUCAUGAUUAUGAAGGUAUCUCGUAUGUUUCUGAUGUCCCUUUUAUCAUUCUUGACAUGUUUAAUCUGAGGUCCAUCACGGUUGAUAUCCCGAGCGAAUCUGCUUGGGUACAAGCCGGGGCGACGCUCGGGGAACUUUACUAUAGAAUUUGGGAGAAGAGCAAAGUAUAUGGAUUCCCUGCUGGUCUUUGCCCAACUGUAGGCGUUGGCGGGCACAUCAGUGGGGGUGGUUAUGGUGCAAUGUUGCGAAAAUUUGGUCUUGCGGUGGAUAAUGUUCUUGAUGCACAGAUUGUUGAUGUUAAAGGCCAGGUUUUGGAUAGAAAGGCGAUGGGGGAAGAUCUUUUCUGGGCUAUCAGGGGUGGUGGUGGUGCCAGUUUUGGGGUUGUUUUGGCAUACAAACUUAAGUUAGUCCAGGUGCCUGAGAUAGUGACUGUCUUUAAUGUUCAAAGGACUGAGGCAGAAAAUGCAACAGAUAUUCUUGUUCAGUGGCAGAAUGUUAUUGACAAAAUGGACAAUGGUCUCUUCAUAAGAAUUCUUGUCCAACCAAUUACUUCAAAAAGUGGCAAAAGUAAGAGUCAGAAGAUCAUCAGGUUAACAUUCAUUGCAUUGUAUCUAGGAGAUUCAGACAAUCUUAUGUCUGUGAUGAAUGCUGGAUUCCCUGCUCUGGGAUUGCAGAAAAGUGAUUGUAAAGAAGGUAGCUGGAUACAGUCAAUGCUAUUCUGGUCCAAUUUUGACAUUGGGGCAAAACCUGAACUUCUUCUUAACAGAACUUCUGAUGUCAAUUUCUUGAAGAGAAAAUCAGAUUAUGUCCAAACCCCAAUUCCUAAGGAUGCACUGACUUCAAUCUUCAACAAAAUGGUUCAGCUUGGAA
rnacentral:lncRNA from 1 species